rnacentral:misc_RNA from 1 species
AAUGAAGCCGGGAAACCGGUCCUUCUAACCCUUGAUUAUAAUAAUUUGUUGCUCUGGUGGGCCGCGCAAGCACCGGCUUCGGCUGGAUCGUGCCCGCCAGAGGACCACAACUCUGUAUCAAAUGUCGUCUGAGUACUAUAAAGUAGUUAAAACCUUCAACAACGGAUCUCUUGGUUCU